GUAACCGGGAAUGAAGUUCUCCCUUGGCUUUGCCAAAACCGCUGACAAUAAUAAACAGCUGAUGACUUCUGCGUU
rnacentral:ncRNA from 1 species